UAUAUCCUACGGGAGGCAGCAGUGGGGAAUAUUGCACAAUGGGGGAAACCCUGAUGCAGCGACGCCGCGUGAGUGAAGAAGUAUUUCGGUAUGUAAAGCUCUAUCAGCAGGGAAGAAAAUGACGGUACCUGACUAAGAAGCCCCGGCUAACUACGUGCCAGCAGCCGCGGUAAUACGUAGGGGGCAAGCGUUAUCCGGAUUUACUGGGUGUAAAGGGUGCGUAGGUGGCAGGGCAAGUCAGAUGUGAAAGCCCGGGGCUCAACCCCUGAACUGCUUUGGAAACUGCCAUGCUAGAGUGCUGGAGG
rnacentral:rRNA from 1 species